rnacentral:rRNA from 1 species
AUUGAACGCUGGCGGCAGGCCUAACACAUGCAAGUCGAGCGGAUGAGUGGAGCUUGCUCCAUGAUUCAGCGGCGGACGGGUGAGUAAUGCCUAGGAAUCUGCCUGGUAGUGGGGGACAACGUUUCGAAAGGAACGCUAAUACCGCAUACGUCCUACGGGAGAAAGUGGGGGAUCUUCGGACCUCACGCUAUCAGAUGAGCCUAGGUCGGAUUAGCUAGUUGGUGGGGUAAAGGCUCACCAAGGCGACGAUCCGUCACUGGUCUGAGAGGAUGAUCAGUCACACUGGACUGGAGAAACGGCCCAGACUCCAACGGGAGGCAGAAGUGGGAAAUAUUGGAAAAUGGGGGAAAGCCUACUCCAGCCAUGCGGGGUGUGUGAAGAAGGUCUUCGGAUGGUAAAGCACUUUAAGUGGGGAGGAAGGGCAGUAAGUUAAGACCUUGCUGUUUUGACGUAACCAACAGAAUAAGCACCGGCUAACUUCGU